CGGAGGGUGCAAGCGUUAUCCGGAUUCACUGGGUUUAAAGGGUGCGUAGGCGGGCAGGUAAGUCAGUGGUGAAAUCUUUGGGCUUAACCCGAAAACUGCCAUUGAUACUAUCUGUCUUGAAUAUUGUGGAGGUCAGCGGAAUAUGUCAUGUAGCGGUGAAAUGCUUAGAUAUGACAUAGAACACCUAUUGCGAAGGCAGCUGGCUACGCAUAUAUUGACGCUGAGGCACGAAAGCGUGGGGAUCAAACAGGAUUAGAUACCCUGGUAGUCCACGCCCUAAACGAUGGAUACUCGACAUACGCGAUACACAGUGUGUGUCUGAGCGAAAGCAUUAAGUAUCCCACCUGGGAAGUACGACCGCAAGGUUG
rnacentral:rRNA from 1 species